AUAGAAAAACAGGCGUACACACAAUAGAAAAACAGGUGUUCACCCAACAGAUUAAAAAGGUCUACACUCAACAGAAAAAUAUGUUCAUUACACCUGCACUGUAGUAGUGGUCAGUUUCAUUACCAAAUGCUGGUGGUGGUCACUAUACACAAGGGACCACCUAACACAUGAGGUUGUAAAGUACAGAAUACAUCAAAACACAUGGUCACUGUAAACAGGUUACAGUUAAACAUAGAUGGCAGCUAUACACAUGUUACAGCUAAACACAUGUAUAGCUGUACACAGGCAGUCACUAUGCACAGGUGGUCACUAUACACAGGUGGUCACUACACAAGUUACAGGUAAACACAGGUGGUCACUAUACACAUGUUACAGCUAAACACGUGUAACUGUAAACAGGCAGUCACUAUACACAGGUGGUCACUAUACACAAGUUACAGGUAAACACAGGUGGUCACUAUACACAAGUUACAGGUAAACACACAGAUUAUUCUGAUUACCACUAAAAUAUACAGUCACUACAUUCAUUUAAUAAUUCAAUAAAAAAUCAGGUCACUUCAUUUAAAAAAAGUGGUCAAUAUACUGAACAUUGCAUAAUCUUGGAAUAAAUAAGGUGUUGUCUCCCUUUAUAUGUUGGACUAGAAUUCAAAGAGCAAAGUCAUUCUUGAAAGUGUCUCAUCCUUAUACAAAUGGUUCAGAGAUGGGUGUGUGAAUGUGCUGGGUCAGUCCAGGAAGAUCACAAAAAAGGUUGAAAAUAUGAGAAAUCUGAAAGUUAAAGAUUGAAUUAGUGAAAAAGUGUUUGUUGAACAAAUUCAAGUAUUGAUAUGCUUCAGAGUAUAUAAGUUAUUUAUUGAAAUAAAAUCAUACAUUAGUUUGACGACUUAGUGAAGUAAGAUUCUACUAAACCCUUUGAUAUCGAGUGAAAAUUAUCACACUAUAAUCUUCUACUAAAAACCUUUUGAUGUCAUGCGUUAGUGUAGUUAAGAUUCUACUAAAAUCUUGUGGUAUAAACAAGACUAAAACACGACAUAUUUGUAUACUUUAUCGUUGUUUUUAAGGGCUGUAACCAUACAUGUGUAUAUCGUUGUCACGUGUAAACUGAUACUAAUAGAUGUUUUAAAAACAUUUAAGACUCUAGCCAAGUGUGUUUUUAUUAGUUAAAGAUUGUUUGUUCCAAUGCUGUUUGUUUUUUGGUGAAAUGUGUGUUUUAUAUAUAGUAACUGUGAUAUUAUGUAAACUACACAGAAAUAAUUAUUAAAUACUCUUUUAUCCAUCAACAGACUUAAUUUUACUAAUAUCGUUUCAGAACUACGGUCUUAUCGAUCUAUUUGAUCUGUGUUGUAGUUUCUACUGUUCUUCGUUUCUGAGGAUUAUGUCCCUUGUUUUGAGUAUAUUUUGCCUGUAAUGUGUUAGUUUAAGCUGGCGCUAUAGAUCAGUGAGCAGCUAUUUUUGUUUUUAUGUUUUUUUUCUUUUUCCUUUAUUUGUGUGUAUGGCUGAAGUGUUACUGAAGAUAUUGUUAUAAAUAAUGGAAAAUAAAAAGGUUUGUUAAAAUCA